CCUACGUGAGGCAGCAGUGAGGAAUAUUGGUCAAUGGACGGAAGUCUGAACCAGCCAUGCCGCGUGCAGGAAGACGGCUCUAUGAGUUGUAAACUGCUUUUGUACAAGGGUAAACCUGAAUACGUGUAUUCAGCUGAAAGUACUGUACGAAUAAGGAUCGGCUAACUCCGUGCCAGCAGCCGCGGUAAUACGGAGGAUCCAAGCGUUAUCCGGAUUUAGUGGGUUUAAAGGGUGCGUAGGCGGAUUGAUAAGUUAGAGGUGAACUGUCCGGGCUUAACUCGGGAACUGCCUCUAAUACUGUUGAUCUAGAGAGUAGAUGCGGUAGGCGGAAUGUAUGGUGUAGCGGUGAAAUGCUUAGAGAUCAUACAGAACACCGAUUGCGAAGGCAGCUUACCAAUCUAUAUCUGACGUUGAGGCACGAAAGCGUGGGGAGCAAACAGGAUUAGAUACCCGGGUAGUC
rnacentral:rRNA from 1 species